GUCGUGCAGGCCAGACGUGCAAGCCUCCAGCAGGGCCAGCAGCAGCGUGGAGCAUUGGCAGGAGAGGCAGGCCAGCAGCAGGCCAACCGGUGAUGGCGGUGUCUCAUGGCCCCAGCACAUGUCGUACGAGGGGGUCCUUCCUGCAGCGGGGCGCCGACGGGGGCCAGAAGGUGAGGAGGACUCGGCGAGGGCGAGUUGCAGGUGACCGAGCUGGACUGCAAGUGAACAAAAGAGCGUGUGAGGACGGCGGCGUGACGGAACGAUUGGAUUGGCCUCCUUUGAGACAUCAGCGCACGCAAGCUACCUGCGGACAGAGCGGGUCGACUGACGUGUCUCGUGGGGUCAAAUGCGAUCCUGUGGGUGCAGAGUUGGAUUCUGCAGUGGGCGUCAGCUGAAGAAAUAAUUUACCUGCAGAGGAACAGACUGACUGCUGAUGCUGAAAAUGAAGAUGCUGUUGGAUGUGCAGGAGCUGCUGGAGCGCCAGCUGCUGUGCGAGGAGCUGACAGACAAGACCAUGUGGAUACCUGGUGGAGGAUGAGGGCCUGCUGUUUGUGCUGCAUCAGAGCUUGCAGCUGACCGGAGGACAGAGUCCGCGUCACCUGACGAGGAGCCGCCAUGGCGAGGGAGACCUUGACGAGAACGAGUGCGG